rnacentral:rRNA from 1 species
UACGUAGGGGUGCGAGCGUUAAUCGGAAUUACUGGGCGUAAAGCGUGCGCAGGCGGCUUUGCAAGACAGAUGUGAAAUCCCCGGGCUCAACCUGGGAACUGCAUUUGUGACUGCAAGGCUAGAGUACGGCAGAGGGGGAUGGAAUUCCGCGUGUAGCAGUGAAAUGCGUAGAUAUGCGGAGGAACACCAAUGGCGAAGGCAAUCCCCUGGGCCUGUACUGACGCUCAUGCACGAAAGCGUGGGGAGCAAACAGG